rnacentral:rRNA from 1 species
UACGGAGGAUGCAAGCGUUAUCCGGAAUGAUUGGGCGUAAAGGGUCCGCAGGUGGCAUUGUAAGUCUGCUGUUAAAGAGUCACGCUCAACGUGAUAAAGGCGGUGGAAACUACAAAGCUAGAGUGUGGUCGGGGCAGAAGGAAUUCCUGGUGUAGCGGUGAAAUGCGUAGAUAUCAGGAAGAACACCGGUGGCGAAGGCGUUCUGCUAGGCCAAUACUGACACUGAGGGACGAAAGCUAGGGGAGCGAAUGGG